rnacentral:rRNA from 1 species
AACGCGAAGAACCUUACCUGGUCUUGACAUCCUGGGAACCCUGAAGAGAUUCGGGGGUGCCGCAAGGAGCCCAGAGACAGGUGCUGCAUGGCUGUCGUCAGCUCGUGUCGUGAGAUGUUGGGUUAAGUCCCGCAACGAGCGCAACCCUUGUCCUUAGUUGCCAUCAUUCAGUUGGGCACUCUAAGGAGACCGCCGGUGACAAACCGGAGGAAGGUGGGGAUGACGUCAAGUCAUCAUGGCCUUUAUGACCAGGGCUACACACGUGCUACAAUGGCAGAUACAGAGGGAAGCCAACGCGCGAGCGGGAGCCAAUCCCAGAAAAUCUGUCGUAGUCCGGAUUGGAGUCUGCAACUCGACUCCAUGAAGUCGGAAUCGCUAGUAAAGCGAGAUCAGCAUUGCUGCGGUGAAUACGUCCCCGGGUCUUUACACACCG